UGGGGAAUUUUGGACAAUGGGCGAAAGCCUGAUCCAGCAAUGCCGCGUGUGUGAAGAAGGCCUUCGGGUUGUAAAGCACUUUUGUCCGGAAAGAAAUCCUUGGCUCUAAUACAGUCGGGGGAUGACGGUACCGGAAGAAUAAGCACCGGCUAACUACGUGCCAGCAGCCGCGGUAAUACGUAGGGUGCAAGCGUUAAUCGGAAUUACUGGGCGUAAAGCGUGCGCAGGCGGUUUGCUAAGACCGAUGUGAAAUCCCCGGGCUCAACCUGGGAACUGCAUUGGUGACUGGCAGGCUAGAGUAUGGCAGAGGGGGGUAGAAUUCCACGUGUAGCAGUGAAAUGCGUAGAGAUGUGGAGGAAUACCGAUGGCGAAGGCAGCCCCCUGGGCCAAUACUGACGCUCAUGCACGAAAGCGUGGGGAGCAAAACAGGAUUAGAUACCCCUGGUAGUCCACGCCCUAAACGAUGUCAACUAGUUGUUGGGGAUUCAUUUCCUUAGUAACGUAGCUAACGCGUGAAGUUGACCGCCUGGGGAGUACGGUCGCAAGAUUAAAACUUAAA
rnacentral:rRNA from 1 species